rnacentral:lncRNA from 1 species
GCUAGGGAAGAAGAUGUUUACAAAAGCUUAUAGCUCAGCACCAAGGUAGAACUGACUAGGACAAGUGCCGCAUGGUGCCGCCAGAUUCUGGUGGUGGCAGCCGAUGCUGCAGGAAGGAAGGGCAGCGGUGAGGCUUCUGGAUCCUGGCUGACAACUAUAGCCUUACAUGCGCUGGGAGACGGUGGUUACAGCAGCUCCCUCCAUCGAAUAGAGACUGCUUCUAGAAGACACCUGAAAGUGCUGCCUUAUUGAAUA